GACGAACGCUGGCGGCGUGCCUAAUACAUGCAAGUUGAGCGCUGAAGGUUGGUACUUGUACCAACUGGAUGAGCAGCGCACGGGUGAGUAACGCGUGGGGAAUCUGCCUUUGAGCGGGGGACAACAUUUGGAAACGAAUGCUAAUACCGCAUAAAAACUUUAAACACAAGUUUUAAGUUUGAAAGAUGCAAUUGCAUCACUCAAAGAUGAUCCCGCGUUGUAUUAGCUAGUUGGUGAGGUAAAGGCGCACCAAGGCGAGGAUACAUAGCCGACCUGAGAGGAUGAGAGGCCACAUUGGGAGUGAGACACGGCCCAAAGGCCUACGGGAGGCAGCAGUAGGGAAUCGGCGGCCAUGGAUGAAAGUCUGACCGAGCAACGCCGAGUGAGUGAAGAAGGUUUUCGGAUCGGAAAACUCUGUUGGUAGAGAAGAACGCUGGUGAGAGUGGAAAGCUCAUCAAGUGACGGUAACUACCCAGAAAGGGACGGCUAACUACGUG
rnacentral:rRNA from 1 species